AUUGAACGCUAGCGGGAUGCUUUACACAUGCAAGUCGAACGGCAGCGCGGACUUCGGUCUGGCGGCGAGUGGCGAACGGGUGAGUAAUGUAUCGGAACGUGCCCAGUAGCGGGGGAUAACUACGCGAAAGCGUAGCUAAUACCGCAUACGCCCUACGGGGGAAAGCAGGGGAUCGUAAGACCUUGCACUAUUGGAGCGGCCGAUAUCGGAUUAGCUAGUUGGUGAGGUAACGGCUCACCAAGGCGACGAUCCGUAGCUGGUUUGAGAGGACGACCAGCCACACUGGGACUAAGACACGGCCCAGACUCCUACGGGAGGCAGCAGUGGGGAAUUUUGGACAAUGGGGGCAACCCUGAUCCAGCCAUCCCGCGUGUGCGAUGAAGGCCUUCGGGUUGUAAAGCACUUUUGGCAGGAAAGAAACGUCGCGGGCUAAUACCCCGUGGAACUGACGGUACCUGCAGAAUAAGCACCGGCUAACUACGUG
rnacentral:rRNA from 1 species